rnacentral:SRP_RNA from 1 species
GCUGGGUGUGGUGGCACACACCUGUAAUCCCAGCUACUUGGGAGGCUGAGGCAGGAGAAUUGCUUGAACCCAGGAGGCGGAGGUUGCAGUGAGCCAAGAUUGCACCACUGCACUCCAGCCUGGGUGACAGAGCAAACUCUGUCUCAA